AUGGGGAAAGGGAAGGGGCUGGCUGGCCCAUCCUGCCCUUUUCCUGCCUUUUCCCUGCUUUCCUCCUGCCCAGAUUCCAACAGGAGCAGGUGGUUUCCAUGGUUUCCCACCAUUUGCUCGGGAAGAUCCUUAGGAACAAGAGCCGGAGGAGGGAAAACAAAAGGGAGACGCUGGAGCUGGAGGCGAGCGGGGGCCACCCCAGGAUCCUCCCACGCCGUAUCCCUGGAGACGGAAAAGGACGGAAAAGCAGCGGGAGCAUCCCAACUCUCUCCCACCAUCCCAUCUCCAUCCUCACUCCCUCCAUCCCUUUUCCGUCCUUCCUCCUUCCAUCCCAUCUCCAUCCUCUUUCUCUCCAUCCCAUCUCCAUCCAUCCUCAUCUUUCUUCCAUCCCAUCUCUCUCCCUCCUUCCUCCCUCAAUCCAUUCAUCCCCUCCACCUCCAUCCUCCCUCCCUAAAUCCCAUCUCCAACCAUUCCUCCUCCCUCCCAUCUCCAUCCUCUCCCUCCUUCCAUCCCACCUCCAUUCCCUCCUUCCAUCCCACCUCCAUUCCCUCCUUCCAUCCCACCUCCAUUCAAUCCAUCCCACCUCCAUUCCCUCCCCCAUCCCACCUCCAUUCCCUCCUUCCAUCCCACCUCCAUUCCCUCCCCCAUCCCACCUCCAUUCCCUCCCUCCAUCCCAUCUCCAACCAUUCCUCCUCACUCCCAUCUCCAUCCUCUCCCUCCCUCUAUCCCAUGUCCCUGUUCCAUCCAUCCCAUAUCCGUUCUCCCUUCAUCCCAUCUCCAUCAAUCCCUCUCUGCCUCCACCUCCAUCAUCCCUCUCUCCCUCCCUCCAUCCCAUCUCCAGUCCCUCCCUCCCUCCAUCCCAUCUCCAGUCCCUCCCUCCAUCCCAUCUCCAGUCCCUCCUUCCAUUCCCUCCAUCCCACCUCCAUUCCCUCCCUCCAUCCCACCUCCAUUCCCUCCCUCCAUCCCAUCCUCAUCCUCACUCCCUCCAUCCCAUUUCCAUCUUCCCUCUAUCUCAUCUCUGUCCUCCUUCCCUCCAUCCCAACCAUCUCCAUUCCAUCUCCCACCAUCCCAUCCAUUUCCAUUCUUUCCCUCCCACCAUCCCAUCCCAUCCCAUCCCAUCCCAUCCCAUCCCAUUUAUCCCAUUUAUCCCAUCCCCUUCCAUCCCAUCCCAUCCCAUUUCUCCCAAUCCCAUCCCAUUUCUCCCAUCCCAUCCCAUUUCUCCCAUCCCAUUCCAUUUCUCCCAUCCCAUUGAUCCCAUUGAUCCCAUUGAUCCCAUUGAUCCCAUUGAUCCCAUUUAUCCCAUUUAUCCCAUUUAUCCCACCCCAUCCCAUCCCAUCCCAUCCCAUCCCAUCCCAUUGA
rnacentral:lncRNA from 1 species